GACUAACGCUGGCGGCGUGCCUAACACAUGCAAGUCGAACGGUAACAUGUCUGUAGCAAUACAGAUGAUGACGAGUGGCGAACGGGUGAGUAAUACAUAAAUAAUCUUCCUAUUAGACGGGGAUAACCUUGGGAAACCAGGGCUAAUACCCGAUAAGCUUCAGUGGCAGCAUUGUCGUUGAAGGAAACACGCAAGUGGCUGAUAGAUGAGUUUAUGCCUGAUUAGCUAGUUGGUGAGGUAAAAGCUUACCAAGGCGAUGAUCAGUAGCUGGUCUGAGAGGAUGGUCAGCCACACUGGAACUGAGACACGGUCCAGACUCCUACGGGAGGCAG
rnacentral:rRNA from 1 species